rnacentral:rRNA from 1 species
AGCGAACGCUGGCGGCAGGCCUAACACAUGCAAGUCGAACGGAUCCUUCGGGAUUAGUGGCGGACGGGUGAGUAACACGUGGGAACGUGCCCUUUGGUUCGGAACAACUCAGGGAAACUUGAGCUAAUACCGGAUGUGCCCUUCGGGGGAAAGAUUUAUCGCCAUUGGAGCGGCCCGCGUCUGAUUAGCUAGUUGGUGGGGUAAAGGCUCACCAAGGCGACGCUCAGUAGCUGGUCUGAGAGGAUGAUCAGCCACAUUGGGACUGAGACACGGCCCAAACUCCUACGGGAGGCGGCAGUGGGGAAUCUUGCGCAAUGGGCGAAAGCCUGACGCAGCCAUGCCGCGUGAAUGAUGAAGGUCUUAGGAUUGUAAAAUUCUUUCACCGGGGACGAUAAUGACGGUACCCGGAGAAGAAGCCCCGGCUAACUUCGUGCCAGCCGCCGCAGUAAUAC